rnacentral:tRNA from 1 species
GGUGAGAUGGCCGAGUUGGUCUAAGGCGCCAGGUUAAGGUUUACAGCUCUUAACACAAGAUUAUCGUAAUCUCCUGGUCUAGUAAUAGGCGUGGGUUCGAAUCCCACUCUCAUCA